CCCUUAGAUGUUCUGGGCCGCACGCGCGCUACACUGACGAAGUCAGCGAGCAUGUCCUACGCCGACAGGUGCGGGGAAUCUUGUCAAACUUCGUCGUGAUGGGGAUUGAUUAUUGAAAUUCUUGAUCAUCAACGAGGAAUUCCUAGUAAGCGCAAGUCAGCAGCUUGCGUUGAUUACGUCCCUGCCCUUUGUACACACCGCCCGUCGCUACUACCGAUUGAAUGGCUUAGUGAGCCUUUGGGAUUGGCAGCCAACACCGGCAACGGUAGCUGGCCGCCGAAAACUUAUGCAAACUUGGUCAUUUAGAGGAAGUAAAAGUCGUAACA
rnacentral:rRNA from 1 species